CUCUUGAACCUCUUUCGCCCCUCUCGCCCUCCUCUCUUUCUCUCUCCCCUCGGCCCGGGAGGAGGUGACGGCGCCGGUCUCCCAGCCGACCACUAGGGGGCGACUCCUUCAGCAUUCAGCCCAGAGUGAGGAGCUGUUGGCGGGGAAGAAAGAAGCUCUGGACCACCUGGAGCUGCUUGACGCACAGCUUAAGUUCAGACCGGGUGUGAUCAGUCCCCCAAGGACAUCCCUGCGAAUGGAACGGACCAACCGAGCCUUAUCCACAGCUGGAUCUCUGAGCUGCAGGGUGGCAAUACGUCGGCAGAGGGACUGCCUGUUCCCCUGCCCUGUUUGCCUGAUGGUGUGAUGUUUAGCUGUGGUCCCUAAUGGAGCAGACCUCUGCCGGGAAGCGGAAGUCCUGCCAACCGCGCGACAGCCCUGUUCAGUAUGGCUCCUCUGAUGACGUCUCCCCCUCCCAAAGUCACGAGGGCGCAUGCUUUCCGUCACAACCAGUGAGCCCAAGAGGAAGGAUCAGUAGAUACUCCGCGCACCCCCAGCGCAGAAUAAAGACUCAAGCUGACCACGGUACUGAGUUCUGUUUCCUCCACCUCGGUUCAGCAGGAUUACACAUGAUGUCACGCACAUGCAAAGAAGCCACCAUCCAUUUUGCUACCUGUUCACCAAUAGAAGAACAACCGCUGCCUCGGUUAUUCUAGACAUAUUUUAUCAAGAAGUGGGGAGAGAGGGGAGCUGGAUUGAUUGAUGGAGGGAGGGGGAGUGGCCAUCCAUCACCCAAAAUGCGUUUCAAUAGUCCUUCACGGCCAAUACAUUAAACAUUACUUCGCUCCUUCAUUGUUUUGGCAAUCAAGCUAAGAGCUUCUUAUUGGAGGAAUAAUCGACAAAGCUCAAGCUGUUUUCCCAAAAAAACAAACAUUUGUUUAGUCUUUGUCCUUGGGUAGAUGUUAUUUAUCAUGGAAUAUAAAUGACCAUAAGUCUAUUGGGCUUAUAAUAAACUAUGAUAUAAAUUACCAUUUGUCUAUUGGGCUUAUAAUAAUCUUUAAGACUACCUUCUAAAAGACACUCACUUAAUUGCACUGCACACAAUGGGUCUAAUUGCUGUGAAGAAUGGUAAAAGUAGUACAUGGUUAAAUAGCAGAAACUGUUAUGUGGCUAAACAAUAGAUCCUGUUCUAACAUGGGCUAAACAGUAGAUACUGUACUAACAUGGGCUAAACAGUAGAUACUGUACUAACAUGGGCUAAACAGUAGAUACCGUACUAACCUGGGCUAAAGUGAUGCAGGUGUUGUGUUCAACCAUUGGCUGGGAGCAUUGUGCAGCCUACGGUGAUUACAGGACAAUACAAUGCACUACAGAACACUACAAUCAAUUACAGUACAGUUCAAUACUACAGCACAGUAUAAUAUACAACAAGACAUAACAAAACAGUAUACAGCACAAUACAUUAAACAGAAACACUACACUACAAUAUUAGUGUGGUUUUUGGCUGUAGAAUUUUGAUCGUGAAAUAAGUGGGAUACUGCUCUGUUUUUUAUUUCUAUAUCUCAUAUAUCUUUCCCCUUCUUUCUUUCUUGUUUCCUUCCCUCUGUCCUUUCACUCUUACACUCUCUCUCUCUCUCUCU